rnacentral:rRNA from 1 species
GACGGAGGGCGCAAGCGUUGUUCGGAAUUACUGGGCGUAAAGCGCGCGCAGGCGGGAAGAUAAGUCUGGAGUGAAAUUCCGGGGCUCAACUCCGGAGCUGCUUUGGAUACUGUCUUUCUAGGGACCGGUAGAGGUCGGUGGAAUUCCGGGUGUAGCGGUGAAAUGCGUAGAUAUCCGGAGGAACACCGGUGGCGAAGGCGGCUUCCUGGACCGACACUGACGCUGAGGCGCGAAAGCUAGGGGAGCAAACGGG